UUGUUACAACAAUUGGAGCGGGCAGCCACUAAUGUCGCUUGCAGUGGCGGCUGGCCAGUAGAGGGCGUUAGGGCGCCGCCCUCCCAGUUUUUCCGUGUUUUUAAGUUUUAUUUUAAAAAAUAAAUAAAAUUAACAAUAAUCACAUAUUCUAAGUUAAUUGUGUGUUUUGUAACAAAAAUAAAUCAUUUAUAUAUAUCUAUAUUGGUCUCUGCCGGUCUCUGCCGAGCGGUGGAGGCUGUGUGCUGUUUUUCAAUCGCCCAAACAGGACGAGACCAGCUGUCCAAUUGCUGACAAUAAUAUCAAAGGGUAGGAAUGGGAAUGUAUCCAAUCAGCGUCGACGUUGUUUCAGAACGUUUCAGUAGCAUGAUGGGCGAUGGCGCUACCGCCAAAGGUUUCGUUGGUGUUCGGUAGAACUCGGCAGAGUCGUUUUUGGUCGUGACGCAGAUGUAACAUGGACGCCGCCGGUGACUACAACCAGCAUGGAUACCGGAUCUCAGCAGCCACUGAAUUCAGUUCGGUCUCCUCCAGUAUCCGUUCGAGAGGAGAACUAUGGUGGAAAAACUUAAUGUCAAAGAGCUUGGACCAGAUCAGCCCGACGUAAAGAUAAGCCAGCAGGAGAAGGAGAGAGAUAAGGCAUGGAUGAGUCAGGAGUUACAGACAUGAAACACUUUUCUGAGAAGGUGAAGAAACACGAGUCAUCCCGGGCACACAUGGACAACAACACGGUGAAGCUAGCUAUGCUAGGCAGCAGAGCUAACGUUGCCAUGCAGGGAACAACAGCAGCUGGGUGCAGAGGUUUUUCACACCAUCCUGAGCCAUGCAAAAGAAGAUUCUUGUCACCACACCCAUGACCACAGCCGAAUCAGAAAGGUGCUUUUUUUACUUUGAAGAGGAUUAAGACUUUCCUUGAGGAACACCAUGACACAGGAUGGGCUGAAUGCUCUUGCCAUGCUCUCCAUGGAAAAAAAAUGUUGUCACAAACAUUCCUGACUUCAAUAAAAUGCUAAUCGAGAGCUUUGCCACUCAGAUGGACAGAAGGGCAAAAUUUCUAUACAAAUGAGGUAUCACACACACACAAAUGCAUCCACUUGAUCUUUGUAUAAAGCUGACCUUGGCACAACACUCCAGAAAUAUUUAACAGUGUAAAUAUCUGGCAUUUUGUCUAAGUAGUGUUUACUACCAUUACUGUAACAGUGACCUGCUCAUAAUUUUUGGUGUUCACUCAAAUGUUGAAAUUAAACAAAAUGUUUUUGUUACUUGCCUCUUGCAUUGCCUAUUUACCAUUUAUGGUUGUGUUAUUUUAUGUGCAAUUUAAUGCAGUAUUUUUCAACCUUGGUCUGCAAGGCAGCGUGCCAAUAGUCAGACACACCUGGAUUAAUCAGUUUGUCCAAUAAUGUAAGACAGGAAAUAAAAGAGCUGUGCUUAAUUCAGGAAAUAGUGAAGUUGUGCACAAAGCUCAGAAAGCACAAGUUUGUUUAAAAAUAAAAAAAUAGCACAGCCCCACCAAAAAUAUUUUUCACCAGCCGCCACUGGUCGCUUGUGCAUCUGUUGACGCUGCUCGUCGGAAUAAACAAAGCAUCUGUUAAUCUCAAAAGACGAGUGGUGUCGUGGUGAUCUGUCAGCAAUAAUCCGCAAAACAUAGAUGAGAUCCAGUUACACCUUCAUUGGUUCAGCUGUGAGAAGUCCAGACGGCCGGUUCUGAGAUUUGUUGUCUCACAGCUAGCUAGCUAUUUCAAACGCAUCUGGAAGCUUAGUGAUAAACACCAUAUGAUGGUGUUGUGCUUGUUCUGUUUUAAUAUUAUGUUUAGGUCCGUUUUUACUUUUGCAAAGUGAAAAACAAUUAUAUUUUUCUUUAAUUAGAGAUAAUUACAUCUUAGGUGUAGCGCUAAAUAAGUCCAUACUUCUGCCUACGACUUUUUCAAACAAACAAACGGAUUGUAUUAUCUUACUUUUUAUGCCAUACAACAAUUUUCGGGCUGCGCAGUGGCGCAGUGGUUAGAGCUGUUGCCUUGUAGCAAGAAGGUGCUGGGUUCGAUUCCCGGCCUGGGAUCUUUCUGCAUGAAGUUUGCAUGUUCUCCCUGUGCAUGCGUGGUGGGUUCUCUCCGGGUACUCCGGCUUCCUCCCACAGUCCAAAAAACAUGACUGUUAGGUUAAUUGGUCUGUCUAAGUUGUCCUUAGGUGUGAGUGUGUGUGUUCAUGGUUGUUUGUCCUGUGUGUCUCUGUGUUGCCCUGUGAUGGACUGGCUCUCUGUCCAGGGUGUACCCCGCCUGAUUGCCCGUUGACCGCUGGAGAUAGGCUCCACUUGGUUGGACAUGCCUGGAAAACCUCACCAGAGAGGUGUCCAGGAGGCAUCCUAACUAAAUGCCCAAGCAACUUCAACUGGCUCCUGUCGAUGUGGAGGAGCAGCAGGUCUACUCCGAGCCCCUCCCAGAUGACCGAGCUUCUCACCCUAUCUCUGAGGGAGAGCCCAGCCACCCUGCGGAGAAAACUCAUUUCAGCUGCUUGUAUCUGCGAUCUGAUUCUUUCAGUAACUACCCAAAGCUCGUGACGAUAGGCUUUGCCUUCUGGCUCAGCUCUCUCUUCACUACGACAGACGCGUGCAUCGUCCGCAUCAUUACAGACGCAGCUCCAAUCUGCCUUUGAUCUUGUGCUCCAUCUUUUCCUCACUUGUAAACAAGAAAAAAAAAGCCGACUUCACAGCAGAAAUAAACAUUUUUACAGUCUGGUUCAAAAAUCAUUUUAGGUUUAAAAUGUCAAACUUAUGACAACUCAGUGUAGAUGUGAUGAAAGCGUUUUUAUGAAUUUCACCCUUAGGGAGCUGGCAGGUGGCAGGCUAACGCUAGCGAUUUGGCCCCAUGCUUGCUCAAUGGAAGGCCUCAGCCUCAGGUUAAAAGGUUUGUCUGUCAUCUGUCCUCUCUCAGCUUUAUAUCUUUGCCCACUUUUGUAUUUUCUUGGGGUGACGAUACGUUUGACAUGGCCAAGGUGGCAGUGGAGUUUUGAGCGCCAACGCCAAGGAUCUGUCCUUUAUUGAUACAGUUUAUGAGUUUAAUCAGUGGUUUUAGGGGUCACAAGUCUUUAGAUAUUUUUGUGAGUCACAAAGUAAAAUGUCUGGUCAUUGAUAUGUGUAUAGGGGGCGACGGUGGCACAGGAGUUAAGUGCUCGCCUCGUAAUCGGAAGGUUGCAGGUUCGAGCCUCGCUCAGUCUGUCGCUGUCGUUGUGUCCUUGGGCAAGACACUUAACCCACGUUGCCUGCAGGUGGUGGUCGGAGGGACCGGUGGCGCCAGUGCUCGGCAGCCACGCCUCUGUCAGUGCGCCCCAGGGCAGCUGUGGCUACAUCGUAGCUCAUCCACACCAGUGUGUGAAUGUGUGUGUGAAUGUGUGAAUGACUGAUUGUGUUGUAACGCGCCUUGGGGGGUUCCAGGACUCUAGAAGGCGCUAUAUCAAAUACAGACCAUUUACCAAUUACCAUUUAUCAUAACCUGAUCCCAGGUCAAGCUGCACUUUCCUCCAAUACACCGUCUGACUCGCUGAAUAAUACAGCUUCUCUGUGUGUUUUGAACCCAGAACAAGUGUAUGUGUAAAUUAUCCUUCCGUCUAAAAUCAGGUAUUUCUGCUGUUUCUGUGGUCUGAGAAAAUGAUUUCAACAGCAUCUUUUUUAACGUUAUGGAAACAGUAAACAAGCGGAGUCACUUGUUAUUUUUACUCUGACGUUUAGUAUUUUGUUAGUAAAAGAGAUGACGUCUCUACUCAGUGACAUCACACACCUCUUGGUUUGAACGUUCCUCUGCAGACUGAUGUUUGGGAUUUCCCAACAACCUCAUGGACCAAAUAAUUCUUGAAGAAAACUGCUUUUUUAUAAUGCAUCGUGAUGUUUUUGCCUGCAGUUCAUUUGUAAAAGCUUUGAUUCAGACUCACAUGCAUACAGUAGACUGAGGAGUAACUGAGACUAUGUAGAGAACCUCCACUCCUACUUAUCUAUGAGAUGCUGCACUGAUGAAUAAAUAAUGGCCCGUCCUUUCAAGUGCACCUUUGAACAGAGAUGAAGUUUUAACCCGCUAAAACCUGGAGACAGUUACAGUCUCCUAGACUAUAAACCUUUUAUUCAAGUCUCACACACUUUGCUCUUCUCUUUCGACGCCCCCACCCCUGAUUCUCUCCACCAUUACGCCCCCCACCUGGCCUUCUGUCAUCAGGGUGAGGAAUCAGAGAGAUUCAAACACAAAGGUCUCUCAAAUACAAAGAACCAUGGAUGGAUGCAGCAGACCCUGCUCUUUUGUUGAGCGACUCAGGGGUCCUGGGGGGACAAUAUUUGGAAAGCUGCACCUGCCUGUGCCCGUUUAUUUGUGUCUUCAUGAACAGAUUUGCCAAACUGAAAAGAGAUAUAUGGAUAUGCGUUUUUUAAAACAAGGUCUGGUUUUGGCAGCUUCUGAGAAAAUCCAGGUAGAGUUGCACCGGUGCUGACUCAGACAAGCAACCAUUUAGAAGAAUGUUUGAAUCAUACAUCAGCGUUACUUUCAGCUCCAGCCUGGUUUCCAUCCAGCUUUCCAUCUCAAAUCCUGUCAUGGCUAGGAGUUGGGAUUUUACUUCCCUGAGGAGAAAGCUACUGAAUGAAGCUGUUUGAUACUUGACUCUUUUUCCUUGCUCUAAAACUGAUUUAUUAAAGCAACAGAGCCGUCUCUGGCAUAUGAAAACAACUUUCUGGUUAAACGCUCUUCAAAUGAAUUUUUUAUUCCUGGAAAAAAUAAAGAUACAAAGCAGGAAGCAAAUCUGUUUCGUAACGACUGAAUGAAUACCACAAAAUAGUUAUCAUUGGGCCAAGCUGAAAGGGAAUUAAAAAGAAGUUUUGGUAGUUUCUGCAUCAGACUCCCAAAAACCCUUCAUGCACACAUUAAAACUGCUGGGUCACUUUUCUAACUCAAAUGGUGAGUGGUAGUCAGUGGGUCUUUAUUAAACGUAUGUUGAUGCCAAUGAACUGGAUUUCUUGCUAUUUUAGUCCAUGAAAGUCUGUCUGUCUGUCUGUCUGUCUGUCUAUCUGUCUGUCUAUCUAUCUAUCUAUCUAUCUAUCUAUCUAUCUAUCUAUCUAUCUAUCUAUCUAUCUAUCUAUCUAUCUAUCUAUCUAUCUAUCUAUCUAUCUAUCUAUCUAUCUAUCUAUCUAUCUAUCUAUCUAUCUAUCUAUCUAUCUAUCUAUCUAUCUAUCUAUCUAUCUAUCUAUCUAUCUAUCUAUCUAUCUAUCUAUCUAUCUAUCUAUCUAUCUAUCUAUCUUUCUUUCUUUCUUUCUUUCUUUCUUUCUUUCUUUCUUUCUUUCUUUCUUUCUUUCUUUCUUUCUUUCUUUCUUUCUUUCUUUCUUUCUUUCUUUCUUUCUUUCUUUCUUUCUUUCUUUCUUUCUUUCUUUCUUUCUUUCUUUCUUUCUUUCUUUCUUUCUUUCUUUCUUUCUUUCUUUCUUUCUUUCUUUCUUUCUUUCUUUCUUUCUUUCUUUCUUUCUUUCUUUCUUUCUUUCUUUCUUUCUUUCUUUCUUUCUUUCUUUCUUUCUUUCUUUCUUUCUUUCUUUCUUUCUUUCUUUCUUUCUUUCUUUCUUUCUUUCUUUCUUUCUUUCUUUCUUUCUUUCUUUCUUUCUUUCUUUCUUUCUUUCUUUCUUUCUUUCUUUCUUUCUUUCUUUCUUUCUUUCUUUUCCAGGAUCAUAACUUUGACUUUAAAGGGGCGGGGCAUCUAAGG